rnacentral:rRNA from 1 species
GACGAACGCUGGCGGCGUGCUUAACACAUGCAAGUCGAACGGUGAAGCGCCUUCCUUUUUGGUGGGUGUGGAUGAGUGGCGAACGGGUGAGUAACACGUGAGUAACCUGCCCCCUUCUUCUGGAUAACCGCAUGAAAGUGUGGCUAAUACGGGAUAUUCUGGGUCUGUCGCAUGAUGGGUCUGGGUACGAUAUUGUUUCGGUGGGGGAUGGGCUCGCGGCCUAUCAGCUUGUUGGUGGGGUGAUGGCCUACCAAGGCGGUGCCGGGUAGCCGGCCUGGGAGAGUCGACUGUCGCACAGGGACGGAGACACGGCCACGACUCCACCGGGCAGCAGCAGUGGGGAGUCUUGCACGGUGGGCACAAGCCUGAUGCAGCGACGCCGCGGGAGGGAUGGAGGCCUUCGGGUUGUGAACCUCUUUCGCCAGUGAAGCAGGCCUGCCUCGUAUGUGGGUGGGUUGACGGUAGCUGGAUAAGAAGCGCCGGCUAACUACGUG